rnacentral:sRNA from 1 species
UGUGUGUGUGUGUGUGUUUCUAUGGUGACAGUGAAAGAUGUUAGCGAUUGGUUGUGAAUUAUGCAAGAUAGAUUGUCAGCGGUCGCAGUUAAGACAGACGACUCCAGAACGCGAGACUGAAAGGUUGUGUUAAUGUAGUGAGUUUGAUUUUGCUAAAAAUUAUUAUUACUUAAUUAAGUCUAAUACAUUUAUUUUAUCUCAUAUCCACUUGAUUUUGUCCAUAUUAUAAUAGAAUAUAUAUUCAGUUUUGUUCACAAAGAAGUUGCUGAAGUUACUUUAAGUUGUCUACCAGCAGUUUGGUGCUACAAGUCAACGACGGUCCACGACACUGAUAAAGUUCUGACAGAGCAUUGAAGUUCAAGCAAAAUGGAAAAGUUCAUGCUCAAACGGCAUUGGAGAAAAUGGGGCACUUGUAUGGAUUUUAUUUACCAAUAUAUUAAUGUAAAAAA